rnacentral:tRNA from 1 species
GGCCGCCUGGCGAAAUGGCAUCGCGUCUGACUACGAUCUUAUCUAAUUACUGAUUGUGUAAUCAGGAGAUUGCAGGUUCGACCCCUGCGGUGGUCA